rnacentral:rRNA from 1 species
AUUGACCGCUGGCGGCAGGCCUAACCCAUGCAAGUCGAGCGAGCGGCGGACGGGUUAGUAAUGUAUGGGGCUCUGCCAGAUAGAGGGGGAUAACUACUGGAAACGGUGGCUAAUACCGCAUACUAUCGCAUGAACCCAUAUGGGAGUGGCUAGUAGGGGGGGUAAAGACUCACCUAGGCGACGAUCCCUAGCUGGUCUGAGAGGAUGACCAGCCACACUGGAACGGAGACCCGGCCCAGACUCAUACGGGAGGCAGCAGUGGGGAAUAUUGCACAAUGGGCGCAAGCCUGAUACAGCCAUGCCGCGUGUAUGAAGAAGGCCUUAGGGUUUUAAAGUACUUUCAGCGGGGAGGCGUUACCCGCAGAAGAAGCACCGGCUAACGCCGUGCCAGCGGCCGCGGUAAUUC